rnacentral:rRNA from 1 species
GUGCCAGCCGCCGCGGUAAUACGGAGGGUGCGAGCGUUGUUCGGAAUUAUUGGGCGUAAAGCGCGUGUAGGCGGUUUGUUUAGUCUGAUGUGAAAGCCCCGGGCUCAACCUGGGAAGUGCAUUGGAUACUGGCAGACUUGAGUACGGGAGAGGGUAGUGGAAUUCCUAGUGUAGGAGUGAAAUCCGUAGAUAUUAGGAGGAACACCGGUGGCGAAGGCGGCUGCCUGGACCGAUACUGACGCUGAGACGCGAAAGCGUGGGGAGCAAACAGGAUUAGAAACCCGCGUAGUCC